UACGUAGGGUGCGAGCGUUAAUCGGAAUUACCGGGCGUAAAGCGUGCGCAGGCGGUUUUGUAAGCCAGAUGUGAAAUCCCCGGGCUUAACCUGGGAAUGGCAUUUGGGACUGCAAGGCUUGAGUUUGGCAGAGGAGACUGGAAUUCCUGGUGUAGCAGUGAAAUGCGUAGAUAUCAGGAGGAAUACCGAUGGCGAAGGCAGGUCUCUGGGCUAGAACUGACGCUCAUGCACGAAAGCGUGGGGAGCAAACAGG
rnacentral:rRNA from 1 species